rnacentral:rRNA from 1 species
AUUGAACGCUGGCGGAAUGCUUUACACAUGCAAGUCGAGCGGCAGCGCGGGGCAACCUGGCGGCGAGCGGCGAACGGGUGAGUAAUGUAUCGGAACGUAUCCUUAAGUGGGGGACAACUAGUCGAAAGACUAGCUAAUACCGCAUACGAUCGAGAGAUGAAAGUGGGGGACCGCAAGGCCUCACGCUUUUGGAGCGGCCGAUAUCCGAUUAGCUUGUUGGUGAGGUAAAGGCUUACCAAGGCUAUGAUCGGUAGCUGGUCUGAGAGGAUGAUCAGCCACACUGGGACUGAGACACGGCCCAGACUCCUACGGGAGGCAGCAGUGGGGAAUUUUGGACAAUGGGGGCAACCCUGAUCCAGCCAUUCCGCGUGAGUGAAGAAGGCCUUCGGGUUGUAAAGCUCUUUUGUCGGGGACGAAACGGUUUCACCUAAUACGUGAGACUACUGACGGUACCCGAAGAAUAAGCACCGGCUAACUACGUGCCAGCAGCCGCCGUAA